GAUGCGGAAAUGAAAAACCUCGUGGGCUCAGCCCGGGAGAAAGGGCCAGGGAAGUUGGGUGGUUCUGUGCUUGGUCUGUCAAUGGAGGAGAUCAAAGUUUUACGAAGGGUGAAGGAGGAGAAUGAUCGGCGAGGUGGAUUUAUUCGCAUAUUUCCUACAUCUGAGACAUGGGAAAUAUAUGGGUCCUACCUCGAGCAUAAGACCUCAAUGAACUAUAUGCUGGCAACACGCCUCUUCCAGGACAGGGGAAACCCAAGAAGAAGCUUAUUGACAGGAAGAACACGAAUGACUGCUGAUGGAGCGCCAGAAUUGAAGAUAGAGAGUCUGAAUUCAAAGGCCAAGCUGCAUGCUGCACUUUACGAGAGGAAGCUCCUGUCUCUGGAGGUGCGAAAACGUAGACGACGGAGUAGCAGAUUGAGGGCAAUGAGGCCAAAAUACCCAGUGAUUACCCAACCAGCUGAAAUGAAUGUUAAAACUGAGACAGAGAGUGAAGAGGAGGAAGAAGUCUCAUUA
rnacentral:sRNA from 1 species